rnacentral:rRNA from 1 species
GAUGAACGCUAGCGGCAGGCUUAACACAUGCAAGUCGAGGGGCAGCGGGAGUAGCAAUACUUGCCGGCGACCGGCGCAAGGGUGCGUAACGCGUGAGCAACAUGCCCGUAUCAGGGGGAUAAUCCAGGGAAACUUGGUCUAAUACCGCAUAAUAAUCAUUUGGGGCAUCGUGGAUGAUUUAAAAUUUCUAUGGAUACGGAUUGGCUCGCGUGACAUUAGCUGGAUGGAGAGGUAACGGCUCACCAUGGCUACGAUGUCUAGGGGUUCUGAGAGGAAGGUCCCCCACACUGGAACUGAGACACGGUCCAGACUCCUACGGGAGGCAGCAGUGAGGAAUAUUGGACAAUGGAUGGAAAUCUGAUCCAGCCAUGCCGCGUGCAGGAAGACGGCCCUAUGGGUUGUAAACUGCUUUUGUAUGGGAGCAAUAAGGGUUACGAGUAGCCUGAUGAGAGUACCAUACGAAUAAGGACCGGCUAACUCCGUGCCAGCAGCCGCGGUAACAC